rnacentral:rRNA from 1 species
UACGGAGGGUGCGAGCGUUGUCCGGAAUCACUGGGCGUAAAGGGCGCGUAGGCGGUCUGUUAAGCGUGUGGUGAAAGCUCGGGGCUCAACCCCGAGUCUGCCAUGCGAACUGGUGGACUUGAGCACUGUAGAGGCAGGUGGAAUUCCGGGUGUAGCGGUGGAAUGCGUAGAGAUCCGGAAGAACACCGGUGGCGAAGGCGGCAUCCUGGACCGGCAUUGACGCUGAGGAGCGAAAGCCAGGGGAGCAAACGGG